rnacentral:rRNA from 1 species
GAUGAACGCUAGCUACAGGCUUAACACAUGCAAGUCGAGGGGAAACGACAUCGAAAGCUUGCUUUUGAUGGGCGUCGACCGGCGCACGGGUGAGUAACGCGUAUCCAACCUGCCCAUCACUUGGGAAUAACCUUGCGAAAGUAAGACUAAUACCCAAUGAUAUCCCACGAAGGCAUCGGAAUGGGAUUAAAGAUUUAUCGGUGAUGGAUGGGGAUGCGUCUGAUUAGCUUGUUGGCGGGGUAACGGCCCACCAAGGCAACGAUCAGUAGGGGUUCUGAGAGGAAGGUCCCCCACAUUGGAACUGAGACACGGUCCAAACUCCUACGGGAGGCAGCAGUGAGGAAUAUUGGUCAAUGGGCGAGAGCCUGAACCAGCCAAGUAGCGUGCAGGAUGACGGCCCUAUGGGUUGUAAACUGCUUUUAGAAGGGAAUAAAGUGGGUCUCGGGAGACUUUUUGCAUGUACCUUAUGAAUAAGGACCGGCUAAUUCCGUG